rnacentral:rRNA from 1 species
GACGAACGCUGUCGGCGUGCUUAACACAUGCAAGUCGAACGGAAAGGCCCUGCUUUUGUGGGGUGCUCGAGUGGCGAACGGGUGAGUAACACGUGAGUAACCUGCCCUUGACUUUGGGAUAACUUCAGGAAACUGGGGCUAAUACCGGAUAGGAGCUCCUGCUGCAUGGUGGGGGUUGGAAAGUUUCGGCGGUUGGGGAUGGACUCGCGGCUUAUCAGCUUGUUGGUGGGGUAGUGGCUUACCAAGGCUUUGACGGGUAGCCGGCCUGAGAGGGUGACCGGCCACAUUGGGACUGAGAUACGGCCCAGACUCCUACGGGAGGCAGCAGUGGGGAAUAUUGCACAAUGGGCGGAAGCCUGAUGCAGCAACGCCGCGUGCGGGAUGACGGCCUUCGGGUUGUAAACCGCUUUCGCCUGUGACGAAGCGUGAGUGACGGUAAUGGGUAAAGAAGCACCGGCUAACUACGUGCCAGCAGCCGCGGUGAUACGUAGGGUGCGAGCGUUGUCCGGAUUUAUUGGGCGUAAAGGGCUCGUAGGUGGUUGAUCGCGUCGGAAGUGUAAUCUUGGGGCUUAACCCUGAGCGUGCUUUCGAUACGGGUUGACUUGAGGAAGGUAGGGGAGAAUGGAAUUCCUGGUGGAGCGGUGGAAUGCGCAGAUAUCAGGAGGAACACCAGUGGCGAAGGCGGUUCUCUGGGCCUUUCCUGACGCUGAGGAGCGAAAGCGUGGGGAGCGAACAGGCUUAGAUACCCUGGUAGUCCACGCUGUAAACGGUGGGUACUAGGUGUGGGGUCCAUUCCACGGGUUCCGUGCCGUAGCUAACGCUUUAAGUACCCCGCCUGGGGAGUACGGCCGCAAGGCUAAAACUCAAAGGAAUUGACGGAGCCCCGCACAAGCGGCGGAGCAUGCGGAUUAAUUCGAUGCAACGCGUAGAACCUUACCUGGGUUUGACAUGGAUCGGGAGUGCUCAGAGAUGGGUGUGCCUCUUUUGGGGUCGGUUCACAGGUGGUGCAUGCCUGUCGUCAGCUCGUGUCGUGAGAUGUUGGGUUAAGUCCCGCAACGAGCGCAACCCUUGUUCACUGUUGCCAGCACGUUAUGGUGGGGACUCAGUGGAGACCGCCGGGGUCAACUCGGAGGAAGGUGGGGAUGACGUCAAGUCAUCAUGCCCCUUAUGUCCAGGGCUUCACGCAUGCUACAAUGGCUGGUACAGAGAGUGGCGAGCCUGUGAGGGUGAGCGAAUCUCGGAAAGCCGGUCUCAGUUCGGAUUGGGGUCUGCAACUCGACCUCAUGAAGUCGGAGUCGCUAGUAAUCGCAGAUCAGCAACGCUGCGGUGAAUACGUUCCCGGG